rnacentral:lncRNA from 1 species
AAAGCCAUCGCUCCUUCUUUCUGGCCGGAUGUGUGCUGAGACCCAGAGUCACCCAGGGGUCUCCGUCACGUGCCAGGAGUAGGCAGAAGUGGGCUGUGACAGAUCAGGAAACAGAGCUCAGUGCAGCCCACUAAAUUGCUCAGGGCCCUACAGCUAACAAGCGGCAGAGGCAGGAUCUGCACUCAGGAGCUGCUUGGAGAUGCUGCUGUGGCCACUGCUGCUGCUGCUGCUGCUGCUGCCAACAUUGGCCCUGCUCAGGCAGCAGCGGUCCCAGGAUGCCAGGCUGUCCUGGCUUGCUGGCCUCCAGCACCGAGUGGCAUGGGGGGCCCUGGUCUGGGCAGCCACCUGGCAGCGGCGGAGGCUGGAGCAGAGCACGCUCCAUGUGCACCAGAGCCAGCAGCAGGCCCUGAGGUGGUGUCUACAGGGAGCCCAGCGCCCCCACUGUUCCCUCAGAAGGAGCACAGGUGUGUUUCCCAGGGUCUGGGGAGGUGACCCAAAGAGAAAGAAACCCCACAGGACCGUCAGAUUCCAGAGCCUGAUGGCCCCCUUACCUCCUCCACUGCCAACGGAGUGGCCUGACCCAGAGACCCAG